rnacentral:lncRNA from 1 species
UAGAUAUUAAUUGCCUAAAGGAAGAACCACAUCAAACGAUUUUGUUUUCAAUUUCUAGGAGUAGUAUUCCAGAAGAAAAUUCUAACGGAAAUAUAAAAACACAAAAUAUCCUUUUUUUUUGGAUUUUUGAUUUAUAACACAUCUUUUUCCAAUACAAAAAUGAAAUACCCAACAUUACUAUACAAACUAGAAGGUAAAAGACGACCUAAAUAAAACAACAGACUCAAAACAUAAUAACUAAAAAAAAUCUCCUUAAGCAAACUCCUGAAUGGAUGGUCCUAAGGCGUUUGUCAUGCCCAAGCUUUUGUAAGUAGAUCCACACCUGUAUGAGAAAACAGAAACCAACACUAUGUGAGACAGUAACAUUCCUUACUAGACACAUGUCAGACAUGAUUGAAGCUAUUUCUGCAAAAUUAACCUAUGCGGCUAAAAGUGGAUAAAAUGCAAGAUUUGGCUAAGACCCCGCGAAGCCAAGAACCUAAGACUUACUAGGAAGAUCGGACCCUAUAUGAGUUACCUACGUAUCCCGCCCCGAGAGAUGAGAAUCAGGUUCGUGUAGUUCGGGCAGAUUGGAUACGGCGAGAAUUAAAACAAAAACAACUAAUUUAGAGAAAACAUAUUUUUGCCUUUUCCUUGAAAAUGAGGAAAAAUGCAACAUCUUUUUUUUGGAUUUUCUUUUUCCUUCUUUUUUUUGAAUUUUUUAUUUUCGAAAAAUGAUGAAAAAGUGCAAAAUCCUUUUUUUUUGAAUUUUCAAGCUUUUGUUUUAACAAAAAUGUGACAGAAAACAUAAUAGGCCCCAUUCGCUUUAUCUUCACACUUCACUCUCUCUUUUUCUUUUUUUCUCUUUUUUUUUUAAUUUGCCCUCAACUAUUAUUGGUCCACCAAAUGACCUUUUUACCCUGGAAAAUUGCAACAUGUAGCACAUAGGAUGCAAUAGGAUGGUCUUUUUAUUUCGGGUACACCUGUCCUAGACAGACCCAACCCCUGUGUUGAGUCUCCAAAGUCAAAUGCAUAUGAUGCAAACAAACAUUCCUACUAGGGAUCCAGCAUGAGGCUGAGUUAUUCUAAGUAUAAAACCUGGGUAUACUGUUCUAGACUUGUGCACCCGAGCAACAACUCGAGCCAAGGAGGGGGCUACGUACCGGGAACCAAAAGGCCAUCCGGCUUUGUAACUUGUUCGAGUUUCUUUAUUAUUUCAAGGUAUGACACUAAUAGAAUAGGGAGUCACGUCAGCGUGCACAUCCCUGAAGAUGAGAAGAGAAGGGUUUCAUAUCAGUUUAUAUACAAUUCAGAUAAUAUCAAAGCGGUAAAAAGUAGCACUUAGCACAUUAGGCCCAAACAUGUGAAUAAAAUCAGAUAAUAAAUAAAGACAAAUACAACAAUUAUUCUAAGCUCGAAUUCUGAAUCCUGAACCAGAGAUUCUGGGUUCUUACUCCGCAACAGAGUCGCCAGAGCUGUCACACCUCCUUUUUCCUACACUCCGGAAGGGAGUAUAAGGGAGUUUUUUCUAACUUAAAGUGCCAAUCGAAACGGGAUUAUUUUAUUAAAAAUUUAGAGUCGCCACUUGGGAUAAUUUUAUGGUGUCCCAACUCACUGAUUUCAAAUCCUGAAUCGACUAAAACGUUGACUCUAUUUUAUAGUCCGCGAACACAGAAAUCCGAGUAAGGAAUUUUGUUAACCCAGGAGAAAGUGUUAGGUAUUCCCGAAUUCCGUGGUUCUAGCACGGUCGCUCAACUAUUAUAGUUGGCCUAUUGUCUUAUUCUAAUACAUGUUUUAACCCUAUACAAUUUUAACUUUAUAACCGCUUUUGUUUAAUUAUUUUUAGGAAAGAUUCAACAUCAUCUAAAAUACGUCUGGAACCACGUCAUAUAAAUGCACCCGUGGUUCACGACACAUUUUAUCUAACGUUGUUGAGAUUUGGAUUUGGGUCACAUAAAUGCACACCCGAGUUUAGGAAGGUAAUUUUUAAAAUAGCGCGCCUAAAGCAACUACGCAUCUUCAAGCUACCAUUUGAGAUAAAACGACAUAAUCACAUGAAUAAAUAUUUCGCUAGCUAAACCAGUAAGGGAGCUCAACAGCUAAAUGAAAUAAAUUGUAAAAAAAACGUACUUCAUUCACACAAAUUUUAUAGAGAACAAAAGCAUGUAGUCAUAAGUAUAGACACGUUUGAGAGACUUACAUAUAUAUGUCAGAAUUGAAAAAGACUCCUAUAUAUGAUUUCAUUUUUUUAUAAUAUAUAUGCUUAUACUACACAGUUGGAGAGGUAAAUGAGCAAUAUGUGCUUCUUUUAUGUUUUAUUAUUAUUUUUGCCUCAUUUAGCUACACCUCUAGCAGAGACAUAUUUUGAUGCCAUUGCCAAGUUAGUAAAGAAAAGCACGGUCAGAACUACUUACUAGCAUUUGAUAUAAAAAUAAUUUUGUCACAAAAUUACCACCGAGCAAUGUAUCUUGUGGCCAAUUUUAAUAAUAAUAAAAAAUAUUAAAAAAACAAACAUAAAAUCAUACAAUUGAAUCAAGAAAAAUAAGAGCUAGCUAGAGUUAUACAAGCUAAUACCAACUAAAGAGCUGACGACAUGUUCUAAGUUAAUUAAAUAAUAUGAAAAAUAAAGAUAGCUACCGACAACUUUUCAGUAAAAUCACCAUUGCCGCAUGACUCUCUUAUUCAAAAAUGCAGCGUCAGAAGCCAAUACAUAUUGUCAUAAUCUCAAAACAAAUCAGAUCCGGGCAUACGAACAGAAAUACAUACCUAGCUGUUCGAAAAUUGGCUAAAAACACCAAAUGAAUAGACGAAAGGACCAAAUGAAGCUCAACAAGACACCAACUCCGUGGCUCAAAACAACCUUUAGAAACCCAGAAAGAAAGGAAAAUUUCGAAACCAGUCCCCUUCAAAUCCCAUUGAGAAUUCCAGUUUUCUCAUUUCUCUUGUUUCAACAAUUUUGUGUGUGCUUCUGAUUUCUUUUCUUUUUUUUUGAUCGAUUUCUUUUUUUUUUGAUUUUUUGAGUGAUGUUAGAGAUGGGAGGCUAAGGUUUUUUUUGGAAGGGGAGGAUUUUGUUCUCUUUAUCUGUGUUUUUUUAGAAAUGAAGAAGAAGGAGAACGAAAGGGAAGGUGUGCCGUUUUUCUUUUUUCUUUGUCUAGAAGGGAAGAGGUCUCAAGUGUAUGAAAAAAUCUGAUGCCUUUAGGCCUAGGUCUUGCCUUUUAUAAAAAAAAAAGAGUUUGGGUCAAGAGCGUAUUGGAUAUGGUAUUGGGCUUGGCUAGUGGGAAUUGGGUCAAUUUGAAU